GUUCUGCCGCCGCAAUCACAAUGGAUUCCUCGGGAAUUAGUUUGUGCAUGAAGAAGAAGAUCAAACCCAAAUCUGGUGUGGCUUCUUUUGAUUGAAUCAUAGCAUGAUGAUAUCUGCUUUUAAAACUGAAGCUAAAACUAACAACCGAGGGUAAAUAGUUGGUUAAUAAGCUCCGGUCAUGUCAUCUUUUUCCGUAAAAUGUUGAUGGAGGGUUCUUGUUAAUUUCCUUCAGGAACAACAUCCACAAAGAUAAGUCCAACAUUUUCUCGACAACAAUAGCAGAAUCAAUCUCAAAUCCUGGGAUCUAAUUGUGUAUGAGUGGCAGACGGAUGGAUGGUUAGUGGGCUGAUGGAAAUACCAUAUUGCUGCCUAAAAAUCUUGGCAUCUCCGGCAGAAAAAGAGGUCAUCGGGGUUUCCAAGAUGACGAGGAGAGUAAACUUUCACUGAACAGGUGCACAUUGCAGCAUCAUUCAAUGGAUUGAUUGUCAUAAUGACUUCUCCUAAAAAAUAACAAUGGGAUCAUGGUGGAUACUAAUUGUCUAAUACAACUUCUGCUCCGUUUGAGUGUGUGGCCAACACCACAAAGCUGCAGUCGGUGGUAUAUCUGUCUCGAAUAGAAAGAAGUAAUUUUUUGAGAAACGAAGCACAUUUUCUUUCAACUAAGCUCUUAUAUACAUUCUUCUUUCCUAGCUUCAAGUUCUUCAAGGAAUUUUUGUACCUUUGGAAAUGUUCAUAUCUUUAAGUUGACUGGUCAUUCUUGUUUUUUUCUACCGAAUCUACUUAAAAGUGUUUUCAUGGUGAUCUCAGUGUCACUUCUGAUUGAUAGAUCCAUUUUGUGGUUUAGUUUUAGCUGUUAUGAGCUCAAUAAUCCUAUGUAGUUGGUGGU